ACUGCCAGCAGAUGGCACUGCAGCGCGGCUUCUGACGGGACACGUGACUCUUGUUUUGGUUUGUUCGCUUCCUGUUUAGACAUUGGCUUAUGUGCGAGGGUAUAGCUUAAUUUGAGCCAGGUGUCCAUGUUUAGCUUGAUUAUGUUGAUUAUUUAAACCCCUCGGUGACUGCACACUUUGCGCAGUCUUAUACUUUGUACCAAAUGUCUGACGAUAGUGAACGCAUUAGCAUGCUAAGCGGUCUUAGUGUCAUGUUUGAAGCCAGAUUUGGCUAGACCGUGUUUCCUUGUGUUUGGUUGCUUGCUUGGUUUAUCAAUAAAGACUUUGCUCUACACCUGCAUCCGCUUCCAGUCCCGUUCCGUGACAUAAUACUGCGCCCCGAGCAUGGAAGCAGCAGAUCAACGUGAGCACCGAGUUCGAGAAGUUGGGCCGAUCGUUCUGGGAAGAGAGUAAGCGUAUCGACAAAAGACUUGCCCAGAUCGAUCGCCAGCUAAUGCAACGAGGGCUGCUGCAGCAAGCCGGCCCAUGCGCCAUAUCGCCACCCGCGCAAUUUCCCACGUCCCGGCUGCCGGAGAGUUAUGCCGUGCCGCGUGGGUAACAGAGCUACUCGAACUCCUGGAGCUUCCCACUUUAGGGGAAUUAUACUACGCCAUGCAGCCAGUAAAGAUACCCGUCCUCCUGGAGCCUCCCACUGCAGGGGAAUUGCACCACGCUGCCCAGCCCAGAACCGAAGGCUAGCCUAGAACUUAUUUUGGGUGGGGGUCAAUGACGACAGCAGAGCUCCAGCGUGAGGCCUAUGGGGAGGCCUCAGCUGUGGAGCUCCCGCCUGAGGUCAACAUGGCAACCUCAGAGCUACAGCUUGAGGCCUACGGGGAGGUCUCUGCUGUGUAGCUCCUGCACGUCAAAGAAGCUGUCCCGCCGCCCUGCCCUAAGGUUACUCAAAUAGUCACUAUUUACAAACGUGGUGGGGAGAAAAGCAUCUCAGAACACACAUCACGUCGAAACUUGAGGUUUGUGGGCAACAACAGCCUCUACUGAAGAACAGUGGUUACCAACUUUGUUCCUGGAGAUCCACCUUCCUGAAGACUUUAGCUCCAACCAUAAGGGUGCCCACCUGAUAAUCUAAUCUCUGCCUUAAGAAGUUCUUGAUCAGCUAAAACAGCAUGUUAGGAGGUUGGGGUCAGAGCACAGAGUCAGCCAUGAUAAAGGCCUUGUUCAAGGGCCCAACAGUGGUAGCUUGGCAGUGCUGGGACUUGAAGCCCCUACCUUCCGUUCAGUAACCCAGAGCCGUAACCGUCAAGCCUCCAGUGCCCCCACUGAAUUUAUAAUCAACUCAUUAACUCAUAAAGAUCUCAAUCCCACUGAACACCUCCAGGAUGAACCAGAACACCGACUACACCCCAGGCCUCCUCACCCAACAUCAGUGCCUUGCCUCACUAAUGCUCUUGUAGCUGAAUGAACGCAAAUCCCCACAACCACGCUCAAAAUCUAGUGGGAAGCCUUCCAAGAAGAGCAGACCUUAUUAUAACAGCAAAGGGGGACUAAAUCUGGAACGGGACAUUCAUCUAGCACAUAUGUGCUAGUUGAGUGUGAUAGUCAGGUGUCCACGUACUUUUGGCCAUAUAAUGUUUGUUCAGUAGAAAUUAUUAAGGG
ensembl:lncRNA